rnacentral:rRNA from 1 species
UGUCGUGUUAAUUCCGAUGAGGUCACACCUGUUCCCAUUCCGAACACAGAAGUUAAGCUUGUCAGGGCCCAAAG